rnacentral:misc_RNA from 1 species
UCUGCACUCUCUGCAUCCGCAUGCAUAGGAUCGUAAACAAGCGUGAGCCAAGUCUCACCGUAUAUUGUAACUCUCCUGCCUGCCACUGCCCGAGCGGCCUAUAUAAACCACCGAUCCGCCACGGCCGUGCCAGCACACCAGCCCACUCGCGCCACCACCUCACCUCGCCUCCGCGCGCGGUCGAUCACUCCACCACCACACACAUCCUCCGUCUUGCACGACCAGCUGCACGGUGUAGCCAUGGACCAGCUCCCCAAGCGCCCGGCCAACUACGUGCCGCUGAGCCCCGUGGGGUUUCUGGCGCGCGCCAAUGCCGUCUACGCCGACCGCGCGUCCGUCGUCUACGGCGGCGUCCGCUUCACCUGGCGCCAGACGUACGAGCGCUGCCGCCGCCUCGCGUCCGCGCUGCUGUCCCUCGGCGUCCGCAGGGGGGACGUCGUCUCCGUGCUCGCGCCCAACGUGCCGGCCAUGUACGAGAUGCACUUCGCCGUGCCCAUGGCCGGCGCCGUGCUCAACGCCAUCAACACGCGCCUCGACGCCGCCGCCGUCGCCACCAUCCUGCGCCACUCCGGGGCCAAGCUCUUCUUCGUCGACUACGACUACGUGCGCCUCGCCGGCGACGCGCUCCGCCUGCUCGCCGCCGCCGCCGGCGGCACCGUCCCGCUCGUCGCCGUCGUCGACGACAUCGACUCGCCCACGGGGGCCCGGCUCGGGGAGCUCGAGUACGAGGCCCUGGUCGCGCACGGCGACCCCGACGCCGACCUCCCGCCGCUCGCCGACGAGUGGGACGCCGUCACGCUCAACUACACGUCCGGCACCACGUCCGCGCCCAAGGGCGUCGUCUACAGCCACCGCGGGGCGUACCUGAGCACCACCAGCCUGCUGCUGCAGUGGGGGGUGGCCACCGACCCCGUCUACCUCUGGACGCUCCCCAUGUUCCACUGCAACGGCUGGACCUUCACCUGGGGCAUGGCGGCGCGCGGCGGCGUCAACGUCUGCAUCCGCGACGCGCGCCGCGCCGACAUCUACCGCGCCAUCGCGCGCCACCGCGUCACCCACAUGUGCUGCGCGCCCGUCGUCUUCAGCAUCCUCCUCGACGGCGACGGCGACGGCGACGGCAGGCAGCUCGAGGCCCCCGUCCACGUCCUCACCGGCGGCGCGCCGCCGCCGGCCGCGCUGCUGGAGCGCGUCGAGCGGAUCGGAUUCAAGGUCACGCACGCCUACGGCCUCACGGAGGCGACGGGGCCCGCGCUGGCGUGCGAGUGGCGCGACCAGUGGGACCGCCUCCCGCUCCCGGAGCGCGCUCGCCUCAAGGCGCGACAGGGGAUCAGCGUCCUGUCCCUCGCCGACGCCGACGUCAAGAACGUCGACACCAUGGCCAGCGUGCCGCGCGACGGCAAGAGCCUCGGCGAGAUCGUACUCCGGGGCAGCAGCGUCAUGAAGGGCUACCUCAACAACCCGGAGGCGAACGACGGCGCCUUCAGGGGCGGCUGGUUCCUCACCGGCGACGUCGGCGUCGUGCACCCGGACGGGUACAUCGAGAUCAAGGACCGGUCCAAGGACGUGAUCAUCAGCGGCGGGGAGAACAUCUGCAGCAAGGAGGUGGAGGAGGUGCUGUUCCGGCACCCGGCCGUGGCCGACGCGGCGGUGGUCGCGAUGCCGCACCCGCGCUGGGGCGAGACGCCGUGCGCCUUCGUCGUGCCCAGGGACGGCAAGGCCCACGGGCUCAGCGAGGACGACGUGCUCGCGUUCUGCGCCAGGCGCAUGGCGCGCUUCAUGGUCCCCAAGAAGGUGGAGGUCAUCGGUGCACUGCCGAGGAACGCGCUGGGAAAGGUUGAGAAGGUCAAGCUCCGGGAGGCGGCACGUAAGCUGGCGCCAACCGUGCCGGCGCAGAUAAAGCCAAAAGGGAAGACGACGACCUCAACUGUGGUCGGCGGUGGUCGCUGCGAGGAGCAGCCGGUGUCGAGGUUAUAGGUAGCAAAACACUACAGACCAUAACUUGUGUUCAACUUCUUUUAUGUGCAGUGAUAUUGUAGGUACUUAAUUAUUACGUGCACAAUGUAAAAUACAUGCAUGGUGUCGAAACGUGAAGGAAAUAAAUUUCUUUUUUGUUCUGGUUCCAGACA